rnacentral:rRNA from 1 species
UACGGAAGGCAGCAGUGGGGAAUAUUGCACAAUGGGCGCAAGCCUGAUGCAGCCAUGCCGCGUGUAUGAAGAAGGCCUUCGGGUUGUAAAGUACUUUCAGUCGUGAGGAAGGUGUUAAGGUUAAUAACCUUAGCAAUUGACGUUAGCGACAGAAGAAGCACCGGCUAACUCCGUGCCAGCAGCCGCGGUAAUACGGAGGGUGCGAGCGUUAAUCGGAAUUACUGGGCGUAAAGGGCGCGCAGGCGGUUAAUUAAGUUGGAUGUGAAAUCCCCGGGCUUAACCUGGGAAUGGCAUUCAAGACUGGUUAGCUAGAGUCUUGUAGAGGGGGUAGAAUUCCAUGUGUAGCGGUGAAAUGCGUAGAGAUGUGGAGGAAUACCGGUGGCGAAGGCGGCCCCUGGGACAAAGGACUGACGCUCGAUGUGCGAAAGCGUGGGGAGCAAACGAGGGAUUAGAUACC